UACGUAGGGCGCAAGCGUUGUCCGGAAUUAUUGGGCGUAAAGAGCUCGUAGGCGGCCAGUUGCGUCCGCUGUGAAAUCCCGGGGCUUAACCCCGGGCGUGCAGUGGAUACGGGCUGGCUAGAGGCAGGCAGGGGAGAACGGAAUUCCCGGUGUAGCGGUGAAAUGCGCAGAGUAUCGGGAGGAACACCGGUGGCGAAGGCGGUUCUCUGGGCCUGUACUGACGCUGAGGAGCGAAAGCGUGGGGAGCAAACAGG
rnacentral:rRNA from 1 species